rnacentral:rRNA from 1 species
AUGCAGGUCGCCGUGCGCAUCGGUGGUUGCAAGCUCGUUGCUUUGAUCGACUCCGGCAGCACCCAUAACUUCAUCAACGAGGAUCUCGCCGCUUUUGUCGGAGCACCCUUCUUGGAUGGGUGCCGCCUCCGUGUCACGGUCGCCAACGGCGACCACAUCAUUUGUUGGGGCCUUCUCCGACAUGUCACCAUCACCAUUGACAAGGAAGCUCCUAGAUGGCCUCCUGGCCUUUCCCGGCAUGCCGCCAUCACAAUCGACAAGGAAGCUCCUGGAUGGCCUCUUGGCCUCCUUCGCAGACACCUUCGCUGA